GGAUCCAGACUUUGAUCCUGGCUCAGGAUGAACGCUAGCUACAGGCUUAACACAUGCAAGUCGAGGGGAAACGAUAGAGAAAGCUUGCUUUUUCUAGGCGUCGACCGGCGCACGGGUGAGUAACGCGUAUCCAACCUGCCCACCACUUGGGAAUAACCUUGCGAAAGUAAGACUAAUACCCAAUGAUAUCUCUAGAAGACAUCUGAAGGAGAUUAAAGAUUUAUCGGUGAUGGAUGGGGAUGCGUCUGAUUAGCUUGUUGGCGGGGUAACGGCCCACCAAGGCGACGAUCAGUAGGGGUUCUGAGAGGAAGGUCCCCCACAUUGGAACUGAGACACGGUCCAAACUCCUACGGGAGGCAGCAGUGAGGAAUAUUGGUCAAUGGGCGAGAGCCUGAACCAGCCAAGUAGCGUGCAGGAUGACGGCCCUAUGGGUUGUAAACUGCUUUUAUAAGGGAAUAAAGUGAGAGUCGUGACUCUUUUUGCAUGUACCUUAUGAAUAAGGACCGGCUAAUUCCGUGCCAGCAGCCGCGGUAAUACGGAAGGUCCGGGCGUUAUCCGGAUUUAUUGGGUUUAAAGGGAGCGUAGGCCGGAGAUUAAGCGUGUUGUGAAAUGUAGAUGCUCAACAUCUGCACUGCAGCGCGAACUGGUUUCCUUGAGUACGCACAAAGUGGGCGGAAUUCGUGGUGUAGCGGUGAAAUGCUUAGAUAUCACGAAGAACUCCGGUUGCGAAGGCAGCUCACUGGAGCGCAACUGACGCUGAAGCUCGAAAGUGCGGGUAUCGAACAGGAUUAGAUACCCUGGUAGUCCGCACGGUAAACGAUGGAUGCCCGCUGUUGGUCUGAAUAGGUCAGCGGCCAAGCGAAAGCAUUAAGCAUCCCACCUGGGGAGUACGCCGGCAAC
rnacentral:rRNA from 1 species